UGGCUCAGAACGAACGCUGGCGGCAGGCCUAACACAUGCAAGUCGAGCGCCCCGCAAGGGGAGCGGCAGACGGGAGAGUAACACGUGGGAACGUACCCUUUGGUUCGGAACAACCCAGGGAAACUUGGGCUAAUACCGGAUAAGCCCUUACGGGGAAAGAUUUAUCGCCGAAGGAUCGGCCCGCGUCUGAUUAGCUAGUUGGUGGGGUAAUGGCCCACCAAGGCGACGAUCAGUAGCUGGUCUGAGAGGAUGAUCAGCCUCACUGGGACUGAGACUCGGCCCAGAGAACUACGGGAGGCAGC
rnacentral:rRNA from 2 species